AUUGAACGCUGGCGGCAUGCUUUACACAUGCAAGUCGAACGGUAACAGGCUGCAAGGUUCUGCCGAGUGGCGAACGGGUGCGUAAUGCAUCGGAACGUGCCCAGUCCUGGGGGUUAGCUACUCGUAAGAGUAGCUAAUAUCGCAUACGAUCUAUGCCUGAAAUCGGGGGACCGUAAGGCAUCGUGCGAUUGGAGCCGCCGAUGUCGGCUUAGGUAGUUGUUGGGGUAAAGGCUCACCAAGCCCACGAUCUGUAGCUGGUCUGAGAGGACGACCAGCCACACUGGAACUGGAACACGGCCCAGACUCCUAAGGGAGGCAGCAGUGGGGAAUAUUGGACAAUGGGCGCAAGCCUGAUCCAGCAAUGCCGCGUGCAUGAAGAAGGCCUUCGGGUUGUAAACUGCUUUUGUAGGGAACGAAACGGCUCUGGUUAAUACCCGGCGCUAAUGACGGUACCGUAAGAAUAAGCACCGGCUAACUACGUG
rnacentral:rRNA from 1 species